ensembl:rRNA 5S_rRNA 5S ribosomal RNA
GCCUACGGCCAUACCACCCUGAGAACGCCCGAUCUCGUCUGAUCUCGGAAGCUAAGCAGGGUCGGGCCUGGUUAGUACUUGGAUGGGAGACCGCCUGGGAAUACCAGGUGCUGUAAGCU